rnacentral:rRNA from 1 species
CCAUGCAAGUCGAGCGGGGUUUACGGAGCAGCUUGCUGCACUGUAAACCUAGCGGCGGACGGGUGAGUAACGCGUGGGCAACCUGCCUUACACAGGGGGAUAACACUGGGAAACUAGUGCUAAUACCGCAUAACAUCAUUUUAUGGCAUCAUGAGAUGAUCAAAGGAGCAAUCCGGUGUAAGAUGGGCCCGCGUCCGAUUAGCUAGUUGGUGAGGUAACGGCUCACCAAGGCAGCGAUCGGUAGCCGAACUGAGAGGUUGGUCGGCCACAUUGGGACUGAGACACGGCCCAGACUCCUACGGGAGGCAGCAGUGGGGAAUAUUGCGCAAUGGGGGGAACCCUGACGCAGCAACGCCGCGUGAAGGAUGAAGGCCUUCGGGUUGUAAACUUCUUUGAUUGGGGAAGAAAUUUGACGGUACCCAAAGAACAAGCCACGGCUAACUACGUGCCAGCAGCCGCGGUAAUACGUAGGUGGCGAGCGUUGUCCGGAAUUACUGGGUGUAAAGGGCGUGUAGGCGGGGAUGCAAGUCAGAUGUGAAAUUCCGGGGCUCAACCCCGGCACUGCAUCUGAAACUGUGUCUCUUGAGUGCUGGAGAGGAAAGUGGAAUUCCUAGUGUAGCGGUGAAAUGCGUAGAGAUUAGGAGGAACACCAGUGGCGAAGGCGACUUUCUGGACAGUAACUGACGCUGAGGUACGAAAGCGUGGGUAGCGAACAGGAUUAGAUACCCUGGUAGUCCACGCCGUAAACGAUGGAUACUAGGUGUAGGGGGUAUCGACCCCCCCUGUGCCGGAGUUAACGCAAUAAGUAUCCCGCCUGGGG